UACGUAGGGUGCAAGCGUUGUCCGGAAUUAUUGGGCGUAAAGAGCUCGUAGGCGGUCUGUCGCGUCGGAUGUGAAAAUCCAGGGCUUAACCCUGGGCCUGCAUUCGAUACGGGCAGACUAGAGUUCGGUAGGGGAGACGUGGAAUUCCGUGGUGUAGCGGUGAAAUGCGCAGAUAUCAGGAGGAACACCGGUGGCGAAGGCGGGUCUCUAGGCCGACACUGACGCUGAGGAGCGAAAGCGUGGGGAGCGAACAGG
rnacentral:rRNA from 1 species